UUCCAGUCUCAGGUGCCAGCCACAUAAAGGACAGCAUGAGGUCAACUUCUGCAGCAAGUUCUUGGUGCCCCUACCCAAAUUCCUUUGGCACUCUCCCAUCCGGAACAUUCUCCGAGGGCAUGAGAACUUUACCCGAGGGUACGGAGGCCACGGUAGAUGGGAAUGGGGGAGACGUACCUCAGCUUCUCCACUCCUCAGGAAGGAGCCACCUGUCUCCCAGCUGUCUGGGACUGUCUGCUGGAACAAGUGACAUCACGGUGACCAGAAACCUCCUCCCUUUUGUCUGGAGCAGUUAUGAUGUCAUUCCCUCUGGCAGCGAAGCAGGAUGUUGGCAGCUGGGAUUCCUCCGGGUCCUCCUGAAGUGAUAAUUGCCUUAGAUUUUGUUAUAAAGUGCAGCUGCUAAUUAUCUUGUUAAAUCACA